UGGUCUGCUUGUGGGACGCCUUGCCCGUGCCGAACUUCUGCUGCAGGUUAUAAGGUGGCAGGACCUACAAGGCCUACAACACUAUUUUGUGAGGGUGUUGCAUAAUGAAGCACCACUCAGAACAAUGAUCCGAAACAUGGUUCAGAGAACAGCUCUGCAGCAACUUCACACACAAAGACUUAGAAACCAGCUUCCAGAUCUUUUUGGUUGUUUAUUUUGGCAACAAAACCUGAAUCAUAACGCUGCAGCAAACUGCCUGUGUUACACAAUUUCUCAACUGAGGAUACCGCUGCAGAAAAACAUUAGCUUUGUGUGUGUUUAGUUGACCAAAAUUGGUAUUGCACCUGCAAUUCACAAUAUGUCUGUUCUGUGGUACCACAUCUGGCCUCAUCAUAGCAGCUAUGCUUAUUGGAUGUGGCUAGGAACUUCUGAAUGAAAAUGUAUUGUAGUCACCGAACUGCAUGGUGCAUAUGAUCCUGUAAACUAAACCCGAAUCAUAUAUGCACAGGUAUUCCUUUUGAAAUAUAAUGAUCAUCUCUGCUGUUGUUUA